rnacentral:rRNA from 1 species
UCGCUCUUAUAUGUCCAAGGUCAAUAUGGAAAUUCUUUCAGAGGUUUUCCCUUACUUUUUCCAUGUCAACAAACAAUUCAAAAUACCUCGACUUUUUCAGAACAGGUCCGAGUGAAAUAG